UUGGAUUUGUCUCCCUUUUUAUGUUUUUAUUGUUGCAAGCGACACUAAAACCGGUUGUAUAAUACAAAUUUUUUUGUUCAUAAGCGAUACGCAAUUAUCUCGUGCAUUUAUAGGCGGGAAUUUCAAUAUAAAACCAGUUGUUUCGGUAAUGUUAUUUCAUUCUUUAACAAACUGUAGACGGGUGCAAGGACAAAAACCCACCACACCCUACCCCAAUUAAAUAUUUGUUUGCUGCCGUUAUGAUUUAUAAUUACAGAUUUUGUAUGCAGUCUUUACCAAUCGUCAUGGCUUUUAAACAUGUUGACAUUUGAUGGAUGAUGAUGUGAUCUAACAAAGCUGAACAUUACAAGCAAUGUGUAUGGCGGAAUUUAUCGUAUUGUGGUGCUGGAAGCCCAGUUGUCACCUCUUCAGUACUGGUUGCCCUUUACUGAAUCAAUGAAAAACAUUAAUUAUAUUGUCAUUGAAUGAUUUAUUCUUUGGCCUUUUGAAAAUCUAAUUGUUGUUAUGAUUUUGUUGAAAAAUUAAAGCCAUGACAAAAUUCGCCAAUUCUAAAAUAGUGUUGUUUUUAUUCAUGAGUCAAAUAAUAGAAUCUAGAGACACAGAAACUGUUUGUAUGUCAUAGGAAUUCACCAUUUUGCUAUAUGUCGGUUUGGUAGUUUGAUAUCAUAUACAAUAAAGU
rnacentral:lncRNA from 1 species